rnacentral:tRNA from 1 species
AAUGAGGUGCCUGAUUAAAGGGUUAUUUUGAUAGAAUAGAUUAAGUGAAUAUGUUUUACCCUUAUUA